GGCCGGCCGCCGAGGGGCUACCGUUCUGCCUCCGACCGGUCGUGUGUGGGUUUACUCGGAGACAGGGUCUCACUCUGUCACCCAGGGUGGAGUGCAGUGGUGCAAUUAUGGCUCACUGUAGUCUUGAUCUCCUGGGCUCAAGCAGUCCUCCCAACUCAGCUCCCAAGUAGCUAGAACUACAGAAAUACUAGGCUUUAGAAUUUCACCAUAUGAAUUUUGGGAGAGAGGAGCACAGUUCAGCCCAUAACUAACACACGUGAUGAAGAAGACAUGCCAACAGAGGGUUAAUUCCAGAUAAAAUGAAAUGUUCCAAACAACGGAAUGAAGUUGAUAAUAGUGAGACCUUGUUGGUACAAGACUAUGUAACAUAACCUGCGCUUCUCAACAAAGAAUUGCUUUUCUGACUUCUGCACUCAAUAGCAAGACAAAUCUCUCCUCUGCCUUCUCCUUAUCAGACUACUCAACAUGAAGGCAAUAAGAAUGAAGACCUCUAUGUAUAAUAAUUGACUUCCACUUAAUAAAUAAGGUUACUUGGUACACUGGUCGACAAAACCUUGAAAUGUUGAUGUUUAAGGGCUGUUGAUUGCUGGCAGCAAAGAAGUCCAACUGUGCUGGUACCCGAGAUAGCGUCUCCACAUUUUCUUCCAGGAUCAUCACCUUUGUUCUAAAUAGCUCCCACAUAGUGUGAACAGAAGUCAUAUGUUUUAGAUUUUCUGCCUUGGCACCCAGGAAACCAGUAUGAUUGAGUAAACAUAUUAAACUUCCUCUGCAUUUCCAGCCUGAACAGAUGUUGAGUACAAGCUGAUCCACCUACGUUCAACCUGAGAGAGUCCACAUCCACAGACUGUUUCAUUUCCCUUUUUCAAUUUACAUAGAAGCAUAGAUUCUUGCUGGCAUAUACAAAUGCGCCAUUUAAGGCAAUCAAAAAUGGUUCCACAUCUCAUCUGAUUUCCACAAUUGUUGCUGUAACGAUGGACUACUGAGGAGAGAGACAAUUUCUCUGGCACAUCUUCCCACAUUUUAGCAACAUGUUCAUGGAGAGCCAAUAUUCAGUAAUUACAGCCCAAUUCCUCACAAUUUCACAAUUCGCUAACAAUAUGCAUUUUCACAAUGUAAAGCUGAUUUUCCUUUAACCAAAUCAAACAUGAAAAGAUAGCUGCAUGCAAUGGGCAAUCUAGAUCAUUAGAAGAUUGAUGUAAAAUUAGAGGACACUGAGACUGGAAUAGAUUGCAAACUUCAGGGAGCUCAGAAAACUUGUAAACUCUACAUUUUGAGGAAAUAUGUUGUCGAUGCUUUUGCAACUCUAUGCAGUAACUUAACAAAUAAAGCCUUAAAGUAACU
ensembl:lncRNA MIR663AHG MIR663A host gene